rnacentral:lncRNA from 1 species
CUAUUUAGGGUUUUUUUGUUUUACUAAUAUAACUUAUGGCCGUCCAAAUUGCCAAAUUUCUAGGCGCCAAAUGUUAUUUCCUUCCCUCUCGAAAUUUUCCCCUAUCUAAAUUAAAAUACUUUUUAGGUUUUACAAUUUUUCUAAUUAGGCUUCAAAGAACUAAACUAAACUCCAUCAACUGUUUUGCAAACUGAAAGAAGUGAAGAAUGGUUCGAUCUAAGUGAAGAAUCGAUCAAUCGAAGUGAAGAAUCAAUUCCUCACAGGUAUGGGUUUUUCAUUUUCUUCUUCUCUUUUGUUUUUGGGGUUUUUCUUUCUCUUCUUCUCUUUCUAUUUUAUCUUUCUUACUCAAUUCCUUUUUAUUUCUCAUCUUCUUCUUCGUUUAGUUAAAAAAAAGUCAUGGUUAAUAAAGUUUGAUUUUUCAUUGAAUUCGAAAGAAAUUUCUUGUUUUUCAUUCAAUUGAUGAUCUGUAGUUAAUAAAGUUUUUUUUUUUUUUUUUUUUUUUUUAAAUAGUUGCACGAACUUGAAGAAAAUUGGAAGGAACUGCUCUCCCUCUCUCUUAUCAAUUCGCACAGGUUUGUGGUAUAAUCCGCAUCUUAAAUUGAUCUUAUAAUUUCCAAUUUAUCUAAAAUUAGUUGAAUAAUUAUGUUUAUAUAUUUUUCCUAUUUCAACACAUCAGAAGCUUUACUCUUUUGAUUUUUGCAAAUUCACAACUUCUCUGAUCAAUUAGACUACUCUGGGCCUGCUACUUCAUUUACAAAGAAAGGUACAUCAACUAGCCCGAAAAAUGAUUAUUUAGUGUCUGUCAUAUCAGUUAUAUCAUAUCCUCAUUUGGGAAGUGUCCCCUGGCGGCUGUCCUACCAGGCCGUUUAUAUCUCUACACUAGUUGUUUAGGUUUGUAAGUAUCAACAUCUGUUUAUCAUAGAGGAGGUGCGACGAUUACAGUUGUUAUACCAUGUGCAUUGUGCAACUACAUAACUGAGAGCCGCCAGAUCCUUGUAUGUGAGGCUCUUGUAACCUGAACAUAAUGGAAAUCAAAGACAGACUCCAGCAGUACAGAGACAAAUAGACACCAACCCUGAGUCUGCAAAGCCCCAUUAAACAGUUAACCUGCUUCAAUCAUCACUCCUGGCCAGUCAUUCAAUAAUUCUCCAAAUCAAAUAUCCUUCUUGAGGUCCAGACUGGUUUUAUCUAUGUUAAGCCAUGCUCAAAUCAUAGACUUCACCAUCACCACAGCUUUGUGCAACCCCAUUUCUUGUCUGCCAGAUGCACCAGAGCACGACAUAUGGCAGAAUUGCCAAGAUCUUCUCACAGAUGCUUCUGCUUCUGAUCCUAGGCCAUCCCUUCAGUAGUUGUUAAAGAGUGAAAAGAAUGAAAAUCAGCAGCAACCUACCCUUUGUUCUGCAGCUUGUCCAUGGUUAAAGUUUUGUCCCAAUGGUGUAUUAGAAUUUUAAGAUGUGAUUGUAUAUCUUCUACUUGUUUUUUAUAAAAGUUGCGCAAACCGUUACUAUGUUUUCUCCUAACAAAUGUUGUUCCUUUUUAUCUUUCAGACGAUAUUGCAACGAUUUGACAAGUUUAUUUUUUGUUCAUAGAUUAAUAUGAUUUUCAAGACUAUAGUACUAAGUCUAAUGACGAGACUUUUGCAUGCAAGACAGUAUAUCUAUUGAGAUGUAGUCAUUACAUAUGUAUCUCUGUAGGUAACCAUGAUUUUUAUCAUCCUAUAUUAAUGCAGGGAAUGAUAUGGUUCCAUCUUAUGCUAAAAAGGAAGCAAGUCAAUAAGCCGAGUAUAUACUGACACUUGAAAUUUCUGUCAUUUUUCUUUUGCAGGUGGCCUAGUUGCAGAAGUCUCUAUAUGUUCAAAGUUCUUAAAGAGUAAGAUAUCCUUUCUGCCUCAUUUAUACUUUUUUCUUCUAGGUUUAUGAAUGCGAUGUUGUAAUAAAUCAGCAAUUUUUACUCCGUCUUGUUUAAGUUUAUUAUAAAUUGUCCACUCUGAAAUGUCAUAUUUCCUUAGAAUUGCAAGAAUCCUUGAUUUUACACUGUGUAAAUUCUUAUUAUGCUUUUUGCAUGUCUUAAUAGGUUAGUGGUCUUAUGCUACCUGUUUAGCAAGUGUUUGUUCGAGUAUGAGAAGAUGAGGAGGGUUAAUCUCAACUUAUCACUUGUCAGAAGCUUCCCAUUUUUGUUGUAAGUGAAAUGCUCUUUUCUGUAUUUAUACUAAAAACCUAGUAUCACAUAAGGUCCAUCUAGGGAUUAAAUGUUAUAUAAGGUAAGAGUAGUACUAUUAAGGAUGGGAAAAGAAAGUCCCCUCCUAAGUUCUUAUCUAAUUCUGAUCUUUGGUGCAAAAGUGGUUUUAGAUAAAUGGCUGAUAAAGCUUGCAGGUUCAAUGAAACAGAAGACUAAACAACAACAACAACAGGACAUGAAGACGACUCUGAAGAUAAGGACGUAGUCUUAUGUUUUAUUUGAGAUAUAUUGUAUGUAAUAUCUUUGUUUUUUUCCCUAGGAGGGCAUGUCCUCUAGGAGGUUUUCUUACAUGACCUGGCAUAGAUUUGGCUACUGAUCAGGAGCUGUACAAUUUGUUUUGACUAGAAUUAAUAAAAUUUUACCUUUGAUAAAUAAUCAUUUUCGAUGUAAUAAUGCAAUUAUGUAU